GGGGUUGUAGCUCAGUGGUGGAGUGCUUGCUUCGCAUGCAUGAGGCGCUGGGUUCGAUCCUCAGCACCACA
rnacentral:tRNA from 1 species